rnacentral:rRNA from 1 species
UACAGAGGUCUCAAGCGUUGUUCGGAAUCACUGGGCGUAAAGGGUGCGUAGGUGGCGUGGUAAGUCAGAUGUGAAAGCCCGGGGCUCAACCUCGGAAUUGCAUCCGAUACUGCCGUGCUGGAGUACUGAAGAGGUGACUAGAAUUCUCGGUGUAGCAGUGAAAUGCGUAGAUAUCGAGAGGAAUACCAACGGCGAAGGCAGGUCACUGGGCAGUUACUGACACUGAGGCACGAAGGCCAGGGGAGCAAACGGGAUUAGAAACCCCCGUAGUCC